rnacentral:misc_RNA from 1 species
AAUAAUAAUCUUCAUAAUAAUCCACAUACAUAAAAUGCACUUCAUAAAUAAAUACGAGUGCAGGUAAGUAAGAGCAUUUAAUACUUCAACAAAAAUCCAUUUGUAUGAAUUCAGAUCACGGCAUAUGAUCAAAUCCUCCUCCAUCCUGUGGAGCAACCUGAUUCUCAUUAACGUUAAGGAGCAAUUGUAGCAGCCAACUCCUCGCCAUUGAAUCCUCACGAAGACAACUGCUGAAGGUGUUAUCUCUAAGCAUAUUGGGAAGAAAAAUUUUCAGUGCCUGACAAGCCCUUGGAUUAUCUGACAAACGAAGAUAGCACCGGAUUAUGUGUUUCAACAAUCUUGAUGAAGGUUGUUCAGCAACUGCACCCACCAUAUUCCCUAAAACUUGGAUUACUUCGAAAAAACUUUUUGAUAUGGAACAUACGUAAUUCAGACCCACAUCAUCUAGAAGGAUUUUUUGCACAAUGGAAGUCGCAACUGUUUUUGAUAGUUCACAUCCCAUCUCCAUCGAGCACAAGCACUUCGGAAUUAUCUCUGUUGAAAUAAGAAAACUGAUAUUUUCAGUGUCAUCUACCUUCACAAGGGCAUAAAUGACACCUAAGCUUGCAAGCCUCAAAUAUUCAAAGGGUGUUGACUUGCUUGUUGUGUUAAGAAAGGGGUACAAAUACAAAGGAAUUUUUGCAUUGAGGAACGACUUUCUGGUGUCAGGAUGAGAGGCUACAGUCUGUAGAAGUGCUAUUGCAUUGCAAACUCUAUUGGAUUGUGCAGGAGCCAGGCUUGGCGACGACAAACCAGGGUAGAUAGAAACUAUCUCCACCGAACAUCAUUCACAUCAAAGCCACAA